rnacentral:rRNA from 1 species
UACGUAGGGUGCGAGCGUUGUCCGGAAUUAUUGGGCGUAAAGGGCUCGUAGGCGGUCCAUCGCGUCGGGAGUGAAAAGCUGGGGCUUAACCCCAGUCCUGCUUUCGAUACGGGUGGACUAGAGGUAGGCAGGGGAGAAUGGAAUUCCUGGUGUAGCGGUGAAAUUCGUAGAUAUUAGGAAGAACACCGGUGGCGAAGGCGGCCCACUGGAUCGGUACUGACGCUGAGGUGCGAAAGCGUGGGGAGCAAACAGG